CCCUUUUUUUAUCGUCUAAUAAAAUAGAAAAUAAACAAAAAAUAAUCAAGCAAUAUAAACAACCGUAAUUGAUUUAUUCAGGGGAUAUUUUACAGUGCACAGUUGAAUAUUCAGUUAGGAUCCUGGCGAUUCAAAAAGCAGGAAAUAAUCUAUAUAUCCAGAAAUUGUCUACUUUACGGACUAUGUCCAAUUUAAAAUAAUUAUUUUAUUUUUUCAGGAUUUUAAAAGGACCUAAGAAGGUUGGAGAAAGAAAUUCUCUGAUUGAUUUAUUUUUAACCAAAACGUUGUCAGUCUUGCUCAGACGAUUGUCGAGCAUUUGUCUUUGGGUUCCUGGAGAGGGAUCGUAAGCCACCUUCUCUAUCGUCUCGAAGAAGUACUCCACGUCACCAUUUACCAUAGGAAUAGGAAAAAAAAUCGAAGAAGCCUGAAAUCAAAGAUCCCGAGCGACCAUAUCCGUGCAACUACACGGGGUUUUAAGGAUCUGUGAAACCGUUCAAUUAGUCUGUUUGAUUCAGGAUGAUAUGAUGUGGUCGUCCUAUUCGCGAUUCCAAAUGCCCUGCAGACAUUUGUCUCCCAAUCUUGAUAUCCAACUGUCCAAGAAAGCUCCGCCAAAUGUAUUGGAGGGGAUAUUUGGUAAUGGGAUCACUUCUGGCCACCUCGUAUACCAAUCCAUUAUAGUAAAGGGAUAGCGCUGUCCUUUGACGAGUGUGAACAGGCCAAUUAUAUCAAUGUGGAUGAAGGCAAGUCUGGCUGAUGGUGGAUCGAAAGAGAAAGUGGGCCUGCAUGUUCUAAAAGGCUUUGUUUGUUGACAGGCAAUGCAUUCUUAGUAAAAUUGUUAACAUCAUAACCUAAUUUAAGGCAAGCGAAGAAAAGUGAUAUCCUCCUUAAAGUCUCUUUGAAUCCUGGAUAAUUUAAUAAUUUGUCGCCGAAGUUCUGGAGAGGACACUAUGGCACGAAAUAAGUUUUCGUUAUUGAAGCCUGCAAGGUCAUUGAGUCUUCGAUCGUUAAUGACAUCUUGAAGAAAAUUGGGCUUAAUUUGAUGUUGUUGAUAUUUCUCAAGAAUAUCCGCAGUGUGGUUGGAUUUUCCUGAAACAUGCUCAAUCCUACAAUUAAACUCUGCUACAUAAGCAAAUAUGCGGAAUUGUCUUGGAGUCCAGGAGGGAUGGUGAAUGUCUAUCGUCGACACUAAAGGCUUAUGAUCUGUGAAUACUUUAAAAUUUUGUCCAUCUAAUGUCCCUAGAAUAUGUUUAUUACUUUUCUUAAUACUAAGUA
rnacentral:lncRNA from 1 species